CACUUAGAACAAGGAAUAAACAGAGAAGAGAAACUGGGAAUUUGAAGCCUGCAAGGCUCCUGGCUGUUAAGAGAAUAAACAGAGAUUUGGACCCCACAAGCAAGCCCAGAUCCGAGGGGACAAUGCAAGUGAGAUUCCAGACAUUUUCUCAAUACCAAGAAGAUUGGAUCCAUUGGAAUAUAACUCUGACAGAAGUCUUGCAAGGAAACUUUAAUUUUAGUUCAAACUCCAUUAAUUUAAGAUAUCCCUGAAAGAUGUGGACAAGGCUCACAGUGAAUCUCACCAUGGUGCCAUGAACUCUGUGCUCCCAGCAAGCUCUUGAACGCUGCACAUCACAGCACCUGAACACCUCAUCUCUACCUGGGUUUUGUUCUCUUCCCCUCUAAAAUCCCAGUGUUCAUACAAACUCUUGCACCCAGUCACUGCUGGU